UUAAUUGAAACCAAAAUAGAGGUAUAUCACUGUUAAUGAUAAAAUUGAGAACACCCUCCAAUUAAG
rnacentral:tRNA from 1 species